UACGUAGGGAGCAAGCGUUGUUCGGAUUUACUGGGCGUAAAGGGCGCGUAGGCGGCGCGGUAAGUCACUUGUGAAAUCUCUGAGCUUAACUCAGAACGGCCAAGUGAUACUGCAGUGCUAGAGUGCAGAAGGGGGCAAUCGGAAUUCUUUGGUGUAGCGGUGAAAUGCGUAGAUAUCAAGAGGAACACCUGAGGUGAAGACGGGUUGCUAGGCUGACACUGACGGCUGAGGCGCGAAAGCCAGGGGAGCAAACGGG
rnacentral:rRNA from 1 species